rnacentral:rRNA from 1 species
UACGAAGGGGGCUAGCGUUGCUCGGAAUCACUGGGCGUAAAGCGCACGUAGGCGGACUCUUAAGUCGGUGGUGAAAUCCUGGAGCUCAACUCCAGAACUGCCUUCGAUACUGGGAGUCUCGAGUCCGUGAGAGGUGAGUGGAACUGCGAGUGUAGAGGUGAAAUUCGUAGAUAUUCGCAAGAACACCAGUGGCGAAGGCGGCUCACUGGCCCGAUACUGACGCUGAGGUGCGAAAGCGUGGGGAGCAAACAGG